GGCAGGGACUCCAGACAGGCUAACUGGAAAUGCACAUCCUCAGAGGGUCUGCACUUUUGAAAAAGUACAGCCUGCAGGAGGAAGGAAAACGUUAAUCUCGUCUUUUUAAAAACUUUCCGAUUCUCCUCCCAUUCUUAAGUACACACUGGGUGCUCUUGUGAUCUCUCAGAACUCCUAGGUUUAUCACCCUCUGCCUGUACUUUCUCAUGACUGCUACCGGAAUUGCCUAUUGGCUCUGUUCAACUACCCGCUCCUGGGACAGGGCUCAGUUUGCUGUGUUCUCUGCUGAGCAAUUUCGGGGCACACAAGAGGCAGUUCACCUGAAGACACAGGAAUGAAGUGCCAGAACGAAAAGACUAAGAAAUGAAAACGCUGACAACUGUCAGAGGCGAGCGAGUUCUGAUGGAGCCAGCAGAAGGAAAGGAUACUCCGUCAUCAGAAUGGGUAACUUUCUGAUUCAAGGUCACUUGCAAAGGUCACUCAGCCUCAAUUCAGUGAUCCAGUCAUCAGGAAUGACCCACCCGCUGGGCAGCUGGUGACACUAGGUCACCACUAAGCGGGGAGCACUUGGUGGGUGACACUGCACACCCACCUGCUCCCAGUGCUGACUUCCGGUCUCUCCGUCCUCCAUGUGAUGACCUUACAUGAUAAUCUUCUGUGGAUUUCUCAUCUGAAAUGCUUCCUAGGCCCUCUCCACUGCAUGUCCCCUCAGAGCCGAUUAAUGUACAGACCCUUCGCUCAGCGUGCUGACUCAGUGGACCAGUGGCUGAGAGCCGAACAGAAGCAUCGGUUCCUCUGAGCUGGUGACCAUUCCCACCCUCACGCUGAGCGAUGCUUGUUCACACAGUGGUCAGCACACUUGUUCUAAACAGCCAAACUGUCUGCAUCUGUACACCCCCUCCUGCAUUUACUAGCUACAACUCAAACCAGUGCUUCUAAACACUAAAUUACCUAUAAAUGAACUUGGCGGUUUAUUAAGACUCAGUAGGUCUGGGGCAGGGUCUGUUCUUCAUUUCCUACAAGUCCCCGAGUAAUGCCAGCGUUGUGAAAACAAACCAUUGCUGAUCCAUACUCAUUUUAAGAAAUACUAUGUGAAGUUCUGCUAUACUCAUUAGCCAGUGUGCCCAGAGAUUAUCUUUCAAAACUUUAGCAUAAUAUCUUGACCAGCUCACUGACACUGUCACAAUCAAAAUACAAAACUUUCUCAUCAACAAUGAUACCUCCAGUACAAUUCCAUAGACACAGGUUACUUCUCCCCUGUCCCUAGGUCCUUCUCAAACUUUGACAGUCACUCAUCUGUUGUGCAUUUCUAAAUUUUGUCAUUCCAAGAAUCCUAUACAAAUUGAAUCAUCUAGUAUGCGACAUUUUAGGGUCAGGUUUUUUAUAAACUCAUACACUUUGCUCUAGGUACCAAUAAUUAGUUCCUUUUCACAAGUGAGUACUAUUCCACAGUAUGGCUAUGCUACAGUACCCUUUUACCAUAGGAGACACAUUCGAAGACUCUAAGACACAUUCUAAGACUAGCAGGUGCUGCAAGGGGCAGAUGUUACUGAACCAUGCGUGCGGGGUUCUUCACCUACACAUACAUACCUAUGGUAAGUUCAAUUCAUAAAUUCGGCACAGUAAGAGUUUAACAGUAAUAACAAUUAGAACAGCAUAUUGUAAUGAAACUUAUUUAAAUUUUGUUAAUUAUUUCUGGACUUGUCCAUGUCAUUUUUUUUUGGACUCUGGUUGACUACAUGUAACUCGAACUACAUGGAGCAAAAGCCACUGAAAUUGUCCUCUGUGGUUUCUUAAACACUUUAAGAAUAAUGUGAAACCAGUCUUAAUACAUUUCACAAAGAAAUGUUUGGGGUCUGAUAUGCGGCCGUUACACUUUGGCUCUGUUAGGCUCAUUUGCUAAACCGCUGCGCCCAUUUGUGGAGCCACGUAGCCCUGGCGAUCAGCUUCCUGCUCGGGGAAUUGUGAAUAAAGCUGCUGCCAUAACAUCCGUGCACCGGUUUUCUGUGGGACCCUAAGUUUUUUUUCUUUGUGAUAAACCCCAGGAGUGGUCAUGGGAACUUUUCAUGUAUAUGCAUAUUUUUUAACUCUGUAUUUUCCAGAGUCACUGAACCAUUUCACACUCUCACGAGCGAUGUAUGAGGGAUCCAGUUUCUCCCUUUCUUCAGCAGCAUGUUGGGCUGGCUGCAUUUUUCACUUAGCAAUUCUGAUAAGUGUAUCACGAUGUCUUAAUGUGGUUUUAAUUUUCAUCUCCCUAGUGCUGAGUGAUGUCAAAUACCUUUUCAAGGGCUUAUUUACCAUCUUCAAACUCAAGAGAGAAAAGUCUCAUCACAUCUUUUCCCUAUUUUCUAAUUAUAUUUUUUGCCUUUAUACUAUCGAGUUUGAAGACUUCUUAUACAUUCUAGAAACUAGUCAUUGGUUAUGAGGUGUACAAUGUUUUUUUCUGGUCUUCAAUUUCCUUCCAUCCUUUUAAAACAGUCUCUACAGUGCAAGUUGCAAUGAACAAUUUUCCUUUUUCAGACUGUAUUUUUAAAGCUGAGUCUGAUAACUUGCUUACCUAGGCCUGGAAUUAAAUUCUCUCUGUCUUUUUUUCUUCUAAAGCUUUAUAGUUUUACGUAUUACAAUUAAGUUCAUGAUCUGUUUUGAGUUAAUGUUAAAGGUGUGCAUGGUAUGGCUAUGCAUCAAUACCCAAAGAUGAAUGUAAUUAUUAUAUAUUGUGUAUAGUAAUAUAAAAAAUGAA